rnacentral:rRNA from 1 species
AUUGAACGCUGGCGGCAGGCCUAACACAUGCAAGUCGAGCGGAGCGGCGGACGGGUGAGUAAUGACUAGGAAUCUGCCUGGUAGUGGGGGAUAACGUCCGGAAACGGGCGCUAAUACCGCAUACUAUCAGAUGAGCCUAGGUCGGAUUAGCGAGUUGGUGGGGUAAAGGCCUACCAGGGCGACGAUCCGUAACUGGUCUGAGUGGAUGAUCAGUCACACUGGAACUGAGACAGGGUCCAGACUCCUACGGGAGGCAGCAGUGGGGAAUAUUGGACAAUGGGCGAAAGCCUGAGGCAGACAUGCCGCGGGUGUGAAGAAGGUUUUGGGAUUGUAAAGCACUUUAAGUUGGACGGCGUUACCAAAAGAAUAAGCAACGGCUAACUUCGUGCCAGCCGCCGCGGUAAUUC